CCUACGGGUGGCAGCAGUGGGGGAUAUUGCACAAUGGGGGAAACCCUGAUGCAGCGACGCCGCGUGUGGGAAGACGGUCCUCUGGAUUGUAAACCACUGUCCCCAGGGACGAAGAUGACGGUACCUGGGGAGGAAGCAUCGGCUAACUCCGUGCCAGCAGCCGCGGUAAUACGGAGGAUGCGAGCGUUAUCCGGAUUUAUUGGGUUUAAAGGGUGCGCAGGCGGAGGUGCAAGUCAGCGGUCAAAUUGCGGGGCUCAACCCCGUACUGCCGUUGAAACUGCAUCCCUUGAGUGCGCGAGAAGUAUGCGGAAUGCGUGGUGUAGCGGUGAAAUGCAUAGAUAUCACGCAGAACUCCGAUUGCGAAGGCAGCAUACCGGCGCGCAACUGACGCUCAUGCACGAAAGCGUGGGUAUCGAACAGGAUUAGAUACCCCUGUAGUC
rnacentral:rRNA from 1 species